rnacentral:rRNA from 1 species
GACGAACGCUGGCGGCGUGCUUAACACAUGCAAGUCGAACGGAAAGGCCCUGCUUUUGUGGGGUGCUCUAGUGGCGAACUGGUGAGUAACACGUGAGUAACCUGCCCUUGACUUUGGGAUAACUUCAGGAAACUUGGGCUAAUACCGGAUAGGAGCUCCUGCUGCAUGGUGGGGGUUGGAUAGUUUCGGCGGUUGGGGAUGGACUCGCGGCUUAUCAGCUUGUUGGUUGGGUAGUGGCUUACCAAGGCUUUGACGGGUAGCCGGCCUGAGAGGGUGACCGGCCACAUUGGGACGGAGAUACGGCCCAGACUCCUACGGGAGGCAGCAGUGGGGAAUAGUGCACAAGGGGCGGAAGCCUGAUGCAGCAACGCCGCGUGCGGGAUGACGGCCUUCGGGUUGUAAACCGCUUUCGCCUGUGACGAAGCGUGAGUGACGGUAAUGGGUAAAGAAGCACCGGCUAACUACGUG